GACGAACGCUGGCGGCGUGCUUAACACAUGCAAGUCGAACGGAAAGGCCCUGCUUGCAGGGUGCUCGAGUGGCGAACGGGUGAGUAACACGUGGGUGAUCUGCCCCUUACUUUGGGAUAAGCCUGGGAAACUGGGUCUAAUACUGGAUAGGACCAUGCUGUAGGUGGUGUGGUGGAAAGAUUAGUUUCGGUAAGGGAUGAGCUCGCGGCCUAUCAGCUUGUUGGUGGGGUAAUGGCCUACCAAGGCGUCGACGGGUAGCCGGCCUGAAAGGGUGGACGGCCACAUUGGGACUGAGAUACGGCCCAGACUCCUACGGGAGGCAGCAGUGGGGGAAUAUUGCACAAUGGGCGCAAGCCUGAUGCAACGACACCGCGUGGGGGAUGACGGCCUUCGGGUUGUAAACUCCUUUCUGCCAUGACGAAUCCCUUGUGGAGACGGUAGUGGUAGAAAAAAGCACCGGCUAACUACAUGCCAACAGCCGCGGUAAUACGUAUGGUGCCAGCGUUGUCCGGAAAUACUUGGGCGUAAAGAACUCGUAAAGUGGUCUGUCGCGUCAUUUGUGAAGCCCGGGGCUUAACUCCGGGUUGGCAGGUGAUACGGGCAUGACUGGAGUACUGUAGGGGAGACUGGAAUUCCUGGUGUAGCGGUGAAAUGCGCAGAUAUCAGGAGGAACACCGGUGGCGAAGGCGGGUCUCUGGGCAGUAACUGACGCUGAGGAGCGAAAGCAUGGGUAGCGAACAGGAUUAGAUACCCUGGUAGUCCAUGCCGUAAACGGUGGGCGCUAGGUGUGGGUUUCCUUCCACGGGAUCCGUGCCGUAGCUAACGCAUUAAGCGCCCCGCCUGGGGAGUACGGCCGCAAGGCUAAAACUCAAAGGAAUUGACGGGGGCCCGCACAAGCGGCGGAGCAUGUGGAUUAAUUCGAUGCAACGCGAAGAACCUUACCUGGGCUUGACAUGCACUGGAUGCGGCCAGAGAUGGUUGUUCCCUUUGUGGCUGGUGUGCAGGUGGUGCAUGGUUGUCGUCAGCUCGUGUCGUGAGAUGUUGGGUUAAGUCCCGCAACGAGCGCAACCCUUGUCUCGUGUUGCCAGCAUUUGGUUGGGGACUCGCGGGAGACUGCCGGGGUUAACUCGGAGGAAGGUGGGGAUGACGUCAAAUCAUCAUGCCCCUUAUGUCCAGGGCUUCACAUAUGCUACAAUGGCUGGUACAGAGAGUUGCGAUACCGUGAGGUGGGGCUAAUCUCGUAAAGCCAGUCUCAGUUCGGAUUGGAGUCUGCAACUCGACUCCAUGAAGUCGGAGUCGCUAGUAAUCGCAGAUCAGCAAUGCUGCGGUGAAUACGUUCCCGGGCCU
rnacentral:rRNA from 1 species